UACAGAGGGCUCAAGCGUUGUUCGGAUUCAUUGGGCGUAAAGGGUGCGUAGGCGGCGCGGUAAGUCGGGUGUGAAAUCUUGGAGCUUAACUCCGAAACUGCAUUCGAUACUGCCGUGCUUGAGGACUGGAGAGGAGACUGGAAUUUACGGUGUAGCGGUGAAAUGCGUAGAUAUCGUAAGGAAGGCCAGUGGCGAAGGCGGGUCUCUGGACAGUUCCUGACGCUGAGGCACGAAGGCCAGGGGAGCAAACGGG
rnacentral:rRNA from 1 species